GCCGAAGUGGCGGAACUGGCAGACGCACAGGACUUAAAAUCCUGCGGUGUUUUGAAGCACCGUACCGGUUCGAUUCCGGUCUUCGGCA
rfam:Clostridium tetani E88, complete genome.